rnacentral:tRNA from 1 species
GCCGAAGUGGUGGAAUUGGCAGACACGCACGCUUGAGGGGCGUGUGGGCAACCGUGGGGGUUCGAGUCCCCCCUUCGGCACCA